rfam:Meleagris gallopavo isolate NT-WF06-2002-E0010 breed Aviagen turkey brand Nicholas breeding stock chromosome 2, whole genome shotgun sequence.
ACCAAGGUUCCACUUGGAACCACAAAGAUACAUUGACCGAGCAUG